rnacentral:rRNA from 1 species
GAUGAACGCUGGCGGCGUGCCUAAUACAUGCAAGUCGAGCGAACGGACGAGAAGCUUGCUUUUCUGUGGUUAGCGGCGGACGGGGGAGUAACACGUGGAUAACCGACCUAUAAGACUGGGAUAACUUCGGGAAACCGGAGCUAAUACCGGAUAAUAUUUUGAACCGCAUGGUUCAAAAGUGAAAGACGGUCUUGCUGUCACUGAUAGAUGUAUCCGCGCUGCAUUAGCUAGUUGGUAAGGUAACGGCUUACCAAGGCAACGAUGCAUAGCCGACCUAAGAGGGUGUACGCCCACACUGCAACUGAGACCCCGUAACGACACCUCCGAGCGGCAGCAGUCGGGAAUCUUCCGGACUGAGCGCCAGCAUGAAAGAGCACCGCCGCGUGAGUGAUGCAGGUCUUCGGAUCGUCAAACUCUGCUAUUAGGGAAGAACAUAUGUGUAAGUAACUGUGACCAUCAUGACGGUACCACAUCAGCACGCCACGGCUAACUACGUG